UAGGGAAUUUUGCGCAAUGGGGGCAACCCUGACGCAGCAACGCCAUGUGUGGGAUGAAGCAUUUAGGUGUGUAAACCACUGUCGGCUGGGAAUAAAUGCCCUUUAGGGGAGCUGAAUGUACCAGCAAAGGAAGCACCGGCUAACUUCGUGCCAGCAGCCGCGGUAAUACGAGGGGUGCAAGUGUUGUUCGGAAUCACUGGGCGUAAAGGGAGCGUAGGCGGGAGCCUAAGUUGGGGGUUUAAAACCGGGGCCUAACCCCGGCGUGGCCCUCAAAACUGGGUUUCUUGAAUGGGACAGAGGUGGAUGGAAUUCUGGGUGUAGCGGUGGAAUGCGUAGAUAUCCAGAAGAACACCAAAAGCGAAGGCAGUCCACUGGGUCCACAUUGACGCUGAGGCUCGAA
rnacentral:rRNA from 1 species